GUCUCAUUAGCUCAAUGGUAGAGCCGAAUACUUCUAAUAUUCUGAUUUUAGUUCGAAUCUGAAAUGAGAUA
rfam:Colletotrichum orchidophilum strain IMI 309357 Scaffold_303.1, whole genome shotgun sequence.